GUCCGUGUUACACGCUUUUUCCAGCUACGGAGAAGGAUACAGUUACGGGGAAAUAUUCCCACGACGAGCGGAGACUCGUUCGACUUCUCAACCGUGUUCGAUCUAAUUUCCGACCGAUACGGAUUCAGAGAUUCGACGACCAUUUCGCGACGACGUGAUACCUCGAGAACACAUGUAGAUGCUGUGAAACGUGUUCCACGCGUCCAGCGUGGGAUUUGAUACGAGGAACGGACCAGAAAGAAGAGAUAAUUCAAUUAACAUCGAGGAACGGAUUUCAAAGCGAGUUUCUUGAAGAUCGUUAAGGAACACCACUAUCUUUCGGCUCCUUGUUAAAUUACAGAGGACAAUGUCUAAAUCGCCAUUGUUGUCGCAUUUCCCGUAAGAUUAUGACCCGAACGGUCUUACAAGAAUCUGUUUACGCGACGAUCAUACAAAUAGCCACCGAUUCUCACCGAUUACGACACCAUGAAGCAGUCUGUAACUGCAUCCGGAAGUCGAUGAUGGUGGAAGAAUAAUACAGCGAACCAAUAUUCGAAGAACCAUCGUUACAACUACAAUUCCAGAAAAUGUUACGAGAUGAACAAUCUUCAGUGGAAAAAUGUCGCUGUUGGAGAAAAGGUAUAUACAUCUCUGUAUUCGAUGGAAGCAAAUGUUCGAAAUUUCACAAUCUUCUUGUUACUCACGAAUGAAAUACGAGGAAAUUAUAGUUAAAAAAUUAAAAGUGUCGCGUUGGUAAAAUAACUACAAUUUUUCUGUAAAUACACCUUUAGAGAUCUUAGGUUCUCGAAAUAUUAUUACCAAAGUUAAAACAUUUUUCGAACAUUUCGGAGCAACAGUGAAAUUGAGAUAUAAAGAUUCGAGGACAGCAGGAUCGCGACAUAUAAGAAGUUUUCCUCGCGUUGUUUAACCUCGAUGGCUACCGCAAGAAGUGGAAGAAGGACCCAGAGAUUCGAAGAGGAUCGCAAUUUCCAUCGGACUGCCUCGUAAAUCCCAAUAUUAUUCUGAAAAACGCCACAAUAAAGUAACGCCGCGGCGGGGCGAGGUUAGUUAACGCCGGGAACUGGUUUUCGUCCGAUCGUUUCAGCCAUUAACGAUAAACAACUUGCAUUCUCGUGGAAAUCGGUGAAAUAUACGCUCGCGAGCGGCCUACACGCUCCGCUAAUAGGAAAGCGAUUUAUGUCCUAGCGCCUUCGUCGUAUUUAUUAUCGCGUCGAUACCGUCGUAUUUAUUAGAUUAUUUUCGCCAGAUAUUCCUUCUCGCAAGGAUCGCAUCGCGGGUAUGUUCGCUCGGUAAUAAGUUAAUUAGGGCCGAGUGAUUAAUAGGAACGAUCUCGUCCGUGUAAAUUAGAUGUCUGAUAGUCCCAUAGUUGACUUCAAGCAUCGUUGCUAUUUUCUAUA